AUUUUUCUGUAUAAAAAUGAUGAAGACAAUUUAAUCAACCUUGUAUUACUAGUAUUUUGAACUGAGAAGACAAAAUAAAAGGAAACUUGAGAUUAAGAUGAAAACAGAUUAUAUUCUAUUUAUAGUGGCAACCUCAUGUUUGUGUCUUGCACAUGGAUGGGUCAAAGAUGUUGAAGCUGUCAACGCUGUAAAAAGGUCCCCUGAUAAAGUGGAGAAAUUGACAUCGCCAAUUGAUAUAUAUCAACUAUUGCUAUGGUCCCUCAACAAAUUUCAAAAUUACACCGACAACUACAGUGAAAAUGAAACAGAAGAUGAAAGACAAAUCAAACGUACAGUGAAUAGCAAGUUGUCACGUGACUUCCUCAGAAGGAGAAGAAUGAGAGGUAAUGGUUUCCGAAUGACUAAUAGCAAUGCGAUGGAUCCGUUAGCCAGUGGAUUGAUUGGUUAGAGCACUCACAAAGUGUCAGAACAGUUGUUGCAUUCCCUGCCUUCAGUUGUUUAUAGCAUUUACACUAUGCCAAUUAUCUUUGAAACAUCUUACAAAAUGUAAUGCAUAAUACUGUAUCUAAAUUUUAGAAUUUCUUGUACAGCCUCCUAUGGUUGAUUUAUCAAAACAUAUGUUCAUAUUCUUGAAAUAGCCAACUGUUCCCCAUCAAUGACUGAAUAAAUAUUUGAAGAA